GUGAGGAAUAUUGGUCAAUGGGCGCAAGCCUGAACCAGCCAUCCCGCGUGAAGGAAGAAGGCGCUAUGCGUUGUAAACUUCUUUUCCGGAGGAAUAAAAUCUUGUACGCGUACAGGACUGAAGGUACUCCGGGAAUAAGCAUCGGCUAACUCCGUGCCAGCAGCCGCGGUAAUACGGAGGAUGCAAGCGUUAUCCGGAUUUAUUGGGUUUAAAGGGUGCGUAGGCGGAUUAAUAAGUCAGCGGUGAAAACCUUCAGCUUAACUGGAGACUUGCCAUUGAUACUGUUAGUCUUGAGUAUGGUUAAGGUAGGCGGAAUGUGUAAUGUAGCGGUGAAAUGCUUAGAUAUUACACAGAACACCAAUUGCGAAGGCAGCUUACUGAGCCAUAACUGACGCUGAUGCACGAAAGCGUGGGGAGCGAACAGGAUUAGAUACCCUUGUAGUCC
rnacentral:rRNA from 1 species